AAUCAACGCUGGCGGCGUGCCUCAGACAUGCAAGUCGAACGCGAAAAGUCCCCUUCGGGGGACGAAGUAGAGUGGCGCACGGGUGAGUAACACGUAGGUAAUCUACCUUCGGAUGGGGAAGUAACAACCGGAAACGGUUAGCUAAUACCGCAUAAUGCAGCGGCACCUAAUGGUGACAGUUGUUAAAGACGGGGGAGUCGAAAGACCUCGCGUCUGAAGAGGAGCCUGCGGCGGAUUAG
rnacentral:rRNA from 1 species